CAGCCACCGCGGUAAUACGAAGGGGGCUAGCGUUGUUCGGAUUUACUGGGCGUAAAGCGCACGUAGGCGGAUCGAUCAGUCAGGGGUGAAAUCCCAGAGCUCAACUCUGGAACUGCCUUUGAUACUGUCGAUCUGGAGUAUGGAAGAGGUGAGUGGAAUUCCGAGUGUAGAGGUGAAAUUCGUAGACAUUCGGAGGAACACCAGUGGCGAAGGCGGCUCACUGGUCCAUUACUGACGCUGAGGUGCGAAAGCGUGGGGAGCAAACAGGAUUAGAUACCCGCGUAGUCCCUGUCUCUUAUAC
rnacentral:rRNA from 1 species